AUUGAACGCUGGCGGCGGGCCUAACACAUGCAAGUCGAGCGGAUGAAGGGAGCUUGCUCCUGGAUUCAGCGGCGGACGGGUGAGUAAUGCCUAGGAAUCUGCCUGGUAGUGGGGGAUAGCGUCCGGAAACGGGCGCUAAUACCGCAUACGUCCUGAGGGAGAAAGUGGGGGAUCUUCGGACCUCACGCUAUCAGAUGAGCCUAGGUCGGAUUAGCUAGUUGGUGGGGUAAAGGCCUACCAAGGCGACGAUCCGUAACUGGUCUGAGAGGAUGAUCAGUCACACUGGAACUGAGACACGGUCCAGACUCCUACGGGAGGCAGCAGUGGGGAAUAUUGGACAAUGGGCGAAAGCCUGAUCCAGCCAUGCCGCGUGUGUGAAGAAGGUCUUCGGAUUGUAAAGCACUUUAAGUUGGGAGGAAGGGCAGUAAGUUAAUACCUUGCUGUUUUGACGUUACCAACAGAAUAAGCACCGGCUAACUUCGUG
rnacentral:rRNA from 1 species